rnacentral:sRNA from 1 species
GCAGAAGUCCCUUGUUCUGAGACCAGUUCUGCAACUUCUGGAAGAUGUGGAAGCAGGAAUUUAAGCUGUGCUUUUUCUGCUGAAAUUUAUAAGGAUUCAUUUUAGGAUUUCUUGAAAGAUUCAGAAAACUUGAGACGAACAAAGGAAGCAAACCUUCCCGAUGAUGAAGACUUCUUGAAGGAUUUCAUGGGUGAUUUGGGAUCCCAGGACCAUUUGGCUAGUGUGCCUAGGUGACCACAUGAUAGCUGUUUUACCAGGAAUGCAGCAUCCCAUUGACAAAACAAGUGCUCUGAGAAGGUUUAAAAUACUACAGAGAAUAUGGGAACACAGAUCUUGAAAUUUAGCUGAGUUGUAACAGCUGAAACUCUAAGAGGUGUCUUCCUUGUUUGAGGUGAAACUAGUGUUGCUUCCAGAGGGCAGCUGGAAACCGUAAAGCUGUUUGGAAAUCUUUUUGACUGACUUGCUGACAAAGAGAUACUGUGAUGCAUUUUAACAAUAUCUAAGUUGAUUUUUUUUUAAAUCAAGGAAAAUAAAAACCAAGCAUGAAUGCUA